CCCCUGGUGGUCCAGUGGUUAAGACUCUGCACUUACAAUGUAGAGGGUGAAGGUUCGAUCCCUAAUUGGGGAA
rnacentral:tRNA from 1 species